rnacentral:rRNA from 1 species
CUCCCGGUUGAUCCUGCCGGACCUGACUGCUAUCGGAUUGGUACUAAGCCAUGCGAGUCGUUGUAGCAAUACAAGGCGGACGGCUCAGUAACACGUAGUCAACCUAACCUAUGGACGUGGAUAACCUCGGGAAACUGAGAAUAAACCGCGAUAGAUCAUUAUGCCUGGAAUGGCUUAUGGUUCAAACAAUUUAUUGCCGUAGGAUGGGACUGCGGCCUAUCAGCUUGUUGGUGAGGUAAUGGCCCACCAAGGCUAUAACAGGUACGGGCUCUGAGAGGAGAAGCCCGGAGAUGGGUACUGAGACACGGACCCAGGCCCUAUGGGGCGCAGCAGGCGAGAAACCUUAGCAAUGUGCGAAAGCACGACUAGGUUAAUCCGAGUGAUUUCUGUUGAAGAAAUCUUUUGUCAGUCGUAAAACCACAGACGAAUAAGGGGUGGGCAAGUCUGGUGUCAGCCGCCGCGGUAAUACCAGCACCUCGAGUGGUCAGGAGGUUUAUUGGGCCUAAAGCAUCCGUAGCCGGCUACGCAAGUCUCCGGUUAAAUCCAGCUGCUCAACAGAUGGGCUGCCGGAGAUACUACAUAGCUAGGGAGCGGGAGAGGUAGACGGUAUUCUGUGGGUAGGGGUAAAAUCCACUGAUCCAUAGAGGACCACCAGUGGCGAAGGCGGUCUACCAGAACGCGUUCGACGGUGAGGGAUGAAAGCUGGGGGAGCAAACCGGAUUAGAUACCCGGGUAGUCCCAGCUGUAAACGAUGCAAACUCGGUGAUGCAUUGGCUUAUGGCCAAUGCAGUGCCGCAGGGAAGCCGUUAAGUUUGCCGCCUGGGAAGUACGGACGCAAGUCUGAAACUUAAAGGAAUUGGCGGGGGAGCA